CCAAAGACCCGAAGCCCUGGGGGAAGGAAAUUCCAACUCGCUCGCGGCCCACCCCCCGCCCCGUUCCUCUCUCCGGCUCGCUGCUUCCCUCGCUCCAAUGCCGCCGAGCUGGUCCCCACUUAUGUGCGGCCGUGCUGCAGAGGCGGCGGCGAGCUCCCGGACUCCGGGCAGGGAAAUGGGGCAGGGUGAGUGAGAGCGGACUCCGGCGAGGUCCCCAGCGCCCAGCCAGCGCCCGCACCCCGCCCGCGGGACAGGGGAGGCGCUGAGUCGGCCCUGCCCGCCCUGGGCUGAGCCUCGCAGGGGUUGCCGCUUCUCCAUUCAAGUCCUGGCUUGAGAGCCGAGCGGCAGGAGCGCGGGCCGGGGAAGGGAAGAGUAGGAGAGGAAGCCGCGAGGGAGAACAGGCGAGCUACUGUCUCCUUUGGAAAAGAACCAGUGACGCGCCGCCUGGGAGCUGGAGCCCGCGCAGCGCCCCGCAGGGCGAUGGACGGCCGAACCCCGCGCCCGCAGGACGCCCCAGCAGGGAGAAAACCAAAAGCCAAGGCACCACUUCCUCCAGCUGAGACCAAAUACACUGGUGUCUCUUCAGCUGCUGAUUGUAUAGAAUCCACUGCUUUCAUCAUGGAACAGAAAGAAAACAUGAUAGAUAAAGACGUUGAACUCUCAGUGGUCCUACCUGGGGAUAUUAUCAAAUCUACUACUGUUCAUGGCAGGUACGCUGGAGUGAAUGAAAUAUCAGGACCUCCCCUUCUUAUUCCACUAUUGAAAGUCUCUGUCAUAUACGUCUUGAUGUUUGUUCUUUGACAAAACACUUAUCACUCAGUUUAGUUAUCUGUUAAAAAAAAGAGUGCUAAAAUGGUGUUAAAAAUUUUCUAUCAAUGUUUUAAUCCCAGUGCUAUGAAUUCCACAAACCCAAUUAAAUGACUCUUGAAAUUUGGAA
rnacentral:sRNA from 1 species